rnacentral:rRNA from 1 species
CGGAAGAUGUAACGGGGCUCAAACCAUGCACCGAAGCUACGGGUUCAACGCAAGUUGAGCGGUAGAGGAGCGUUCUGUAAGCCUGUGAAGGUGACUUGAGAAGCUUGCUGGAGGUAUCAGAAGUGCGAAUGCUGACAUGAGUAACGAUAAUGCGGGUGAAAAACCCGCACGCCGAAAGACCAAGGUUUCCUGCGCAACGUUAAUCGGCGCAGGGUGAGUCGGCCCCUAAGGCGAGGCAGAAGAGCGUAGUCGAUGGGAAACGGGUUAAUAUUCCCGUACUUCUAGUUACUGCGAUGGGGGGACGGAGAAGGCUAGGCCAGCAAGGCGUUGGUUGUCCUUGUUUAAGGUGGUAGGCAGAGAUCUUAGGUAAAUCCGGGGUCUUAAUGCCGAGAGCUGAUGACGAGCUUUCUUUUAGAAAGCGAAGUGGUUGAUGCCAUGCUUCCAGGAAAAGCCUCUAAGCUUCAGGUAACUAGGAACCGUACCCCAAACCGACACAGGUGGUUGGGAAGAGAAUACCAAGGCGCUUGAGAGAACUCGGGUGAAGGAACUAGGCAAAAUGGCACCGUAACUUCGGGAGAAGGUGCGCCGGUGAGGGUGAAGGACUUGCUCCGUAAGCCCAUGCCGGUCGAAGAUACCAGGCCGCUGCGACUGUUUAUUAAAAACACAGCACUCUGCAAACACGAAAGUGGACGUAUAGGGUGUGACGCCUGCCCGGUGCCGGAAGGUUAAUUGAUGGGGUUAGCGCAAGCGAAGCUCUUGAUCGAAGCCCCGGUAAACGGCGGCCGUAACU